UUUAGCUAAAACCAUAUAAUGUUUCUUUUUUAUUCAGUUAGCUUUCUGUCUACAUGUUGUCUUCUUGUGGAUGUCUUCUAUAUGCAAUUGCAGUGCAUUUAUAUGAACUACAGGAGGACUAUUUAAUUUAUAUAUAUAUAACUGUCCUAAUCUCUUGCUUCGUCAUAUAUAGAUGAAGUGACAUUGUAAUAGUUUUUUUUUUAUUGGUCGAUCACUAGUAAAAGAUGUUCAUAUAGCUACAUGUGAUUGUUAGGGAAAAAUUAGUAGUAAACUAUAACUACAGAAAGUUACAAAUUAGUGACAAAGUAUUAGUUAAUUUAAUUUGUAGCUAAUAUGUCACUAAACGUAGGUAUAUAAUGACGGAUAGUAACAAAAGAAAAGUGUAGCAAUUAUUGAUUUCUGGGUUUGUAUCGAUUUAGGGUUCUUCCAUGUGACCCCUUUUCGAUUACUUUUCUCUUGUAUCGAUUUAGGGUUUUUAUUAGGUAUAUAAUCUUCUUCUUCUUCUUCUUCCUCAAAAUCUAUUUCGUCGGCGAUUCUUUCCAACGGCAACGGCUAAACUUUCACAGAUCUCUGUAACAUUUUGUUCAAUGAUUUUGGUGAGGAUGGUGGCCGAUCAGCUAAAUCUUUGAAACCAAAAUUCAAUGCCUUUGUAAACCACUUAACAACUCGUACUGGCCAGCAAUUGCCACCUUUAAUGUCAUGUUUUAUGUAAUGGAUAAUUUUGAUGAUGAAUGCAAUAAAAAGUUAUAUAUAUAUUCAUUUAAAUAAA